rnacentral:tRNA from 1 species
GAGGGUAUAGCUCAGUGGUAGAGCAGAUCCUUAGCAUGCAUGAGAUCUUGGGUUCAAUCCCUCGUACCUCUA